CAUUCCAACGACAUCCGGGAAGAAAUAACUCAGUCACCGUGCAAUUUUCCGGUGACCUAAGUGUUGGGCCUAACUCAACCCCAAAAGCUAGCUUUUGGGGUUGAGUUAGGCCCAAGGUCCAUUCUUAUCGGUGACCUAAGUGACUAAUUGCGUCAAAGUCACUAAUUAUCAGUGUUGUGCAAAAACCAACACCACCACAAGGUUUCCAAGAGAGAUCCGACCAAACCCCAGCAAACACCACCGGAAAACUGCCCUUCACGCGCCCUCACGCGCUAGAUUUAUCCAGGCAGAUCCGACUCACGCGCCCCACGCGCCGGCGCGUGAGCACUAUUCUUGUGAGAUUCUGACGAAGGUCCUUCAAGGCAGUUAGACCGCCCUCAAAUUCCGAGCCUACCCAUAUUUUUACUUUUCAAUU
rnacentral:lncRNA from 1 species